UCCCUGCUGGCUCAGAGGGUAAAGCGUCUGCCUGCAGUGCUCGAGACCCAGGUUCGAUCCCUGGGUCAGGAA
rnacentral:tRNA from 1 species